AACAAGUAUGUUGGCACACUGAGCUAUUUUCUAAUCACAGAUAAUUAAUCCUUCAUAAAUGGCUAGCAAAGUCCAACACUACCCUGUAAAUAAUGUAUGGCAUGCUCUCAAGGAGCUGUAAGGAAUAUAUAAAUAUUGCACGCUGCAUUCAUUUAGCCAAUUAAACUGCAUUUAGCAGUGCCAGAAGCUGGACUGCAGCAUUUGCACAUUGUGGAUCUGCUGUUCCUCCUGGCCCUCUGGCUCCAGGGGAAAUGGAAGCAGAGGCAGGCUCAGGUCAGGGAUCCCCUGCCCAGCAGAGCCCAGCAGGGACUGAAAUUCCUCCCCUGCUGCCCCCACAGCUGCUCUGCCUGCUCAGGCCAUGGGCAGAGCUGGGAGCAGCCCUGGGCUGGGGCCAGAGUGUGAAAGGAAAACAUUCCUGCAUUUUGUGUGUGUGUGUGUGCAUGGGGGGUGGAAAUAAAACUGUCCCAGUCACUUUUCCAGUCCUGAAUAUGGAAAUGACCGUGGUGCUAAGAGAGAAGGGGAAAUGCUCCUCUGGAAUUCCCAGGCACAGGUUUGGUAAGUGUCGUGGUUUGAAGGGAAGUGAGUUUUUUUGGAAGUAGUGGUCAAACCAAUCAGUCCUUAGGUCUGAGUAUUGGCACCUUUGUUGGCCACUAAGAGGUUGGACACGCCUCUGAGGACACGAGGGGUUAAAAGCCGGAUUUCCCAGCAGGACUCUCUUUUUCCCUGCUCUGCUUUCGGAGAGGGAGCGUCUUCUCCUCUCCCCUGCCCAGGCCUGGCUAGGCCGGGUGGGGGAGGGGAGCAAGGUGGGCCUGGCUGAGCAAGAGAGAAGGUGCCGAGCUGGAGCUGCUUGUGAGAGCUGCAGUGCCUGCGAUCGCCUGUGCCUGACCUUGGUGGUGGGAGAUAAAAGCUUUUAACUCUUUCUAAGGCAGAAGAGAGUCAUCCCUGGAUGCUGAAUUCUCAUAGUUGGUGGUUUUAGGAGAGAGAGGACAGCCUGGGACCGAGAGGGUAAUGUGAGAUGAAAAGAAGCCCCUUCGAUUGCCGGAAUGAAGAGGAGUGGCCUAUUAGGCCGGACUUUUCCCGCAUAAUGAUAGCCAUAGACGGACCCUGGACCCUCCUGACUAUAAAUAAGACUGUGUUUGGGUGGAUGUUUUUGGCUCAAACCCAGAGACGUUCUGGCCUGCUUCUUGGAGCCCCCGGCCCCAGGGGUAAAUGGGGGGGACCUGAGUCCCAAAAUGAGAAGAUGGCUGGUUUUUGGUACUUGGCCAAAACAUCCUUAAAAAGAGCCCUGUUGCAGUGCAGGUCCAUGGACGGCAGUGAGAGUGCUGGACAUGGAAAGGAGGGUGUCACCCUGGCAGACUCUUCGAGGCAGUGCCAUGGGUGACGUGGGAACACGGGAUGGUGGACCUGUGUUUCCUGUGGGGGGGGGGUCUGUGGUGCGAGAGAGACUCCUCUCGUCCUGGAUGGAAUGUGGAUUGUCUGAAUUUUAAAGGAUGAUGAUUUGGAUUAGGAACCCAGGGUUGUUGAGGGAUUAAGCAAGUAGAUGAAGGUAAUGUGCUGGAGUCAACUGAGUGAGCAUGUAUGGAAUGGAAAUUGGGGGGAGGAGAAGCAGUGUUUUUGGGAGGUUUUCUCUUCUGCUUUUGGGUGGCUGAGUUUUUCUUUCCUUUUCUAUUGUCCAUUGUUAUGUAGUAUAAUAAAUUGUCUGUCUGUUUCAAGUA